rnacentral:rRNA from 1 species
GACGAACGCUGGCGGCGUGCCUAAUACAUGCAAGUAGAACGCUGAAGGCGUAGCUUUCUUCUCUGGAUGAGUUGCGAACGGGUGAGUAACGCGUAGGUAACCUGCCUGGUAGCGGGGGAUAACUAUUGGAAACGAUAGCUAAUACCGCAUAAGAGUAGAUGUUGCAUGACAUUUGCUUAAAAGGUGCAAUUGCAUCACUACCAGUUGGACCUGCGGUGGAUUAGCUAGUUGGUGGGGUAACGGCUCACCAAGGCGACGAUACAGAGCCGACCUGAGAGGGUGAGCGGCCACACUGGGACUGAGACACGGCCCAGACUCCUACGGGAGGCAGCAGUAGGGAAUCGUCGGCAAUGGGCGGAAGUCAGACCGAGCAACGCCGCGUGAGGGAAGAAGGUUUUCGGAUCGUAAAGCUCUGUUGUAAGAGAAGAACGAGUGUGAGAGUGGAAAGUACACACUGUGACGGUAUCUGACAAGAAAGGGACGGCUAACUACGUG